rnacentral:rRNA from 1 species
AAUGAACGCUGGCGGCAGGCCUAACACAUGCAAGUCGAACGGAUCCUUCGGGAUUAGUGGCGGACGGGUGAGUAACGCGUGGGAACAUACCCUUUGGUACGGAAUAGCCUCGGGAAACUGGGAGUAAUACCGUAUGUGGUCGAGAGACGAAAGAUUUAUCGCCAAAGGAUUGGCCCGCGUUGGAUUAGGUAGUUGGUGGGAUAAUGGCCUACCAAGCCGACGAUCCAUAGCUGGUUUGAAAGGAUGAUCAGCCACACUGGGACUGAGACACGGCCCAGACUCCUACGGGAGGCAGCAGUGGGGAAUCUUAGACAAUGGGGGAAACCCUGAUCUAGCCAUGCCGCGUGAUCGAUGAAGGCCUUAGGGUUGUAAAGAUCUUUCAGGUGGGAAGAUAAUGACUGUACCACCAGAAGAAGCCCCGGCUAACUCCGUGCCAGCCGCCGCAGUAA